AACGCUGACAGAAUGCUUAACACAUGCAAGUUAAUGAUAAUAAUUUAUUAUUGUCAUAGCGGACGGGUGAAAAACGUGUAAAGAACUUACCCUAUAGACUGGGAUAACAGAGAGAAAUUUCUGAUAAUACUAGAUAAUGUUAACAAGAAGCAUUUUUUGUUAAUUAAAGGAUUUAUUGCUAUAGGAGAGCUUUGCAUCCUAUUAGCUAGUUGGUAAGGUAAAGGCUUACCAAGGCGAUGAUAGGUAGCCGGCCUGAGAGGGUGGACGGCCACAAGGGGACUGAGAUACGGCCCUUACUCCUACGGGAGGCAGCAGUGGGGAAUAUUGGACAAUGGAGGAAACUCUGAUCCAGCAAUUCUGUGUGUGUGAAGAAGGUCUUAGGAUUGUAAAGCACUUUUAGUUGGGAAGAAGAAGAUGACGGUACCAACAGAAGAAGCGACGGCUAAAUACGUGCCAGCAGCCGCGGUAAUACGUAUGUCGCAAGCGUUAUCCGGAAUUAUUGGGCUUAAAGGGCAUCUAGGCGGCUUAUCAAGUUGAAGGUGAAAUAUUUAAGCUCAACUUAAAAAUUGCCUACAAAACUGAUUAGCUAGAGUACUGGAGAUGUGGGUGGAACUACACGAGUAGUGGUGAAAUACGUAGAUAUGUGUAGGAAUGCCGAUGAUGAAGAUAACUCACAAGACAGAAACUGACGCUGAAGUGCGAAAGCUAGGGGAGCAAACAGGAUUAGAUACCCUGGUAGUCCUAGCUGUAAACGAUGAUCACUGGGUGUAGGGUAGAAGAUAUUCUGUGCCGAAGCAAAAGCGAUAAGUGAUCCGCCUGGGGAGUACGUUCGCAAGAAUGAAACUCAAAGGAAUUGACGGGGGCCCGCACAAGUGGUGGAGCAUGUGGUUUAAUUCGACGCAACGCGAGGAACCUUACCAGAUUUUGACAUCCUCGGAAUUAUAUAAAGAUAUAUAAGUGCCUACGGGAACCGAGAGACAGGUGGUGCAUGGCUGUCGACAGCUCGUGUUGUGAGAUGUUGGGUUAAGUCCCGCAACGAGCGAAACCCCUAUUAUUAGUUGCCAUCAUUAAGUUGGGGACUCUAAUAAAACUGCCUUUUACAAGAAGGAGGAAGGUGGGGAUGACGUCAAGUCAUCAUGCCCCUUAUGAUCUGGGCUACACACGUGCUACAAUGGGUAGUACAAAGAGAGAAUGUCUAGUAAUAGAUGUUAAAACAAGAAAGCUAUUCAUAGUUCGGAUUGAAGUCUGCAACUCGACUUCAUGAAGUUGGAAUCACUAGUAAUCGCAAAUCAGCAAUGUUGCGGUGAAUACGUUCUCGGGCCUUGUACACACCGCCCGUCACACCACGAGAGUUGUUUGCACCUGAAAUUACUGGCCUAACUAGAAAUAGAGGGAGGU
rnacentral:rRNA from 1 species